ACGAACGCUGGCGGCAUGCCUAACGCAUGCAAGUCGAACGAGACCUUCGGGUCUAGUGGCGCACGGGUGCGUCACGCGUGGGAACCUGCCCUUAGGUUCGGAAUAACUCCCCGAAAGGGGUGCUAAUACCGGAUAAUGUCUUCGGACCAAAGAUUUAUCGCCUUUGGAUGGGCCCGCGUUGGAUUAGCUAGUUGGUAGGGUAAAAGCCUACCAAGGCGACGAUCCAUAGCUGGUCUGAGAGGAUGAUCAGCCACACUGGGACUGAGACACGGCCCAGACUCCUACGGGAGGCAGCAGUGGGGAAUAUUGGACAAUGGGCGAAAGCCUGAUCCAGCAAUGCCGCGUGAGUGAUGAAGGCCUUAGGGUUGUAAAGCUCUUUUACCCGGGAUGAUAAUGACAGUACCGGGAGAAUAAGCUCCGGCUAACUCCGUG
rnacentral:rRNA from 1 species